rnacentral:tRNA from 1 species
GCUCCUGUAGCUCAGUUGGUAGAGCGCGUCCAUGGUAAGGAUGAGGUCAUCGGUUCAAUUCCGUUCGGGAGCUCCA